GAUGAACGCUGGCGGCGUGCUUAACACAUGCAAGUCGAACGAAGCAUUUGCGGCAGAUUUUUUCGGAAUGAAGUUGCUUAUGACUGAGUGGCGGACGGGUGAGUAACGCGUGGGUAACCUGCCUUGUACUGGGGGAUAGCAGCGGGAAACGGCUGGUAAUACCGCAUAAGCGCACAAUGUUGCAUGACAUGGUGUGAAAAACUCCGGUGGUAUAAGAUGGACCCGCGUCUGAUUAGCUAGUUGGUGAGAUAACAGCCCACCAAGGCGACGAUCAGUAGCCGACCUGAGAGGGUGACCGGCCACAUUGGGACUGAGACACGGCCCAGACUCCUACGGGAGGCAGCAGUGGGGAAUAUUGCACAAUGGAGGAAACUCUGAUGCAGCGACGCCGCGUGAGUGAAGAAGUAAUUCGUUAUGUAAAGCUCUAUCAGCAGGGAAGAUAGUGACGGUACCUGACUAAGAAGCUCCGGCCAAAUACGUG
rnacentral:rRNA from 1 species